rnacentral:rRNA from 1 species
AACGAACGCUGGCGGCAGGCCUAACACAUGCAAGUCGAGCGCCCCGCAAGGGGAGCGGCGGACGGGUUAGUAACGCGUGGGAAUGUACCCUUUUCUACGGAAUAGCCUCGGGAAACUGAGAUUAAUACCGUAUACGCCCGGUAACGGGGAAAGAUUUAUCGGAGAAGGAUCAGCCCGCGUAAGAUUAGAUAGUUGGUGGGGUAAUGGCCUACCAAGUCUACGAUCUUUAGCUGGUUUGAGAGGAUGAUCAGCAACACUGGGACUGAGACACGGCCCAGACUCCUACGGAGGCAGCAGUGGGGAAUCUUAGACAAUGGGCGCAAGCCUGAUCUAGCCAUGCCGCGUGAGUGAAGAAGGCCUUAGGGUCGUAAAGCUCUUUCAGUGGGGAAGAUAAUGACGGUACCCACAGAAGAAACCCCCGGCUAACUCCGUG